UUCAUCACAGAUAAUAUCCAACCUACUUUGCAAACUCAUGAUGAUAUCUCCCUGUGCAAAGAAUCGUGAUCAGGAUGUAAGAGGACAAAAACAAGGGACCCAAGUUAGUGCAAUCUGAAGAAGAUUAAGCAAUUCAUUGCUCAAAGGCCUCAUUGUUAAAAUAGAAACUUGUGCUCACUACCAAGAACCAACCAUCUCAAUGACUACAACAACAACAAGUGCUUGGAAAUUUAGGCCAGGUUAUGAGACUCUGCAUGAUCACAAAACAACCAGCCAAGACAGCCAACACAUCUGCUUCAAGGAGGGGCCAUAUCCAGAGUACAUUGCUUAGCUUCUAUGCUCAUGAUCUCCCCUGCCUCUCUUUCUUUCUUUUUGGAUAUGUACAGGAUGGGCCAGUUGAUCCAAGUGUCACCUGCCAAAAAAACUUAACCUAGGAGAGGCAAAGUAAAGGACAAAGAAGCAACUACGACACUGGUAGAGGUCAUGGGGGAGUAGUGGAGAAGAGAGGUAGUGAUGACAAGGGGGUUAUGAAGAGCCCAAGCAAUGGAAAUCACUUGGUCCUAGAAUUAUUUAAAAAGAUUUAAGAGAUGUCACGAACUGAUUCAGUGCGGUCAAAAGUAAAUUGGUUGUGGGGCGUUUAGUCUUAAAUUUAAAUCCAAAACUUGGGUGUAGCCAUGUGUUCACACUCAAUCAAGGGCACAA